AUGAACCAGGCUCUGGCGCAGAAGGAUCUGGACCUCGCAGCCGCGCAGAAAGCAGCCAAAGAGAAAACUGCACUAGCUAACCAGAAGCUAGCUUCAGUCGGCAAACUGGAGGAAGAGAAUGCCAAGCUGAAAACUGCCCUUGAUGAAGCCAACAGGGAGGCGACUCAUCUGAAGAAGGACAAGAACAAUCUGACCGAAAAGAUGGAAGGCAUUGCUCGCAAACGGGGCGAUUUGGAGAACUAUCUGGGAGGGCUUGCCAAGAAGAUGUUCAUCAUGCUUGAAGAAUUUUGCCAGAACUUCAAGGAAGAAACUGGGCGAGUUGAGACAAGCUUGGACCCCAUCCUCUCUCCUGUGAAGGACGAAGCUGCCAUGAAUGUGCUCUGA
rnacentral:rRNA from 1 species